GACGAACGCUGGCGGCGUGCCUAAUACAUGCGAGUCGAACGCUGAAGGAGGAGCUUGCUUCUCCGGAUGAGUUGCGAACGGGUGAGUAACGCGUAGGUAACCUGCCUGGUAGCGGGGGAUAACUAUUGGAAACGAUAGCUAAUACCGCAUAAGAGUAGAUGUCGCAUGACAUUUGCUUAAAAGGUGCAACUGCACCACUACCAGAUGGACCUGCGUUGUAUUAGCUAGUUGGUGAGGUAACGGCUCACCAAGGCAACGAUACAUAGCCGACCUGAGAGGGUGAUCGGCCACACUGGGACUGAGACACGGCCCAGACGCCUACGGGAGGCAGCAGUAGGGAAUCUUCGGCAAGGGACGGAAGUCUGACCGAGCAACGCCGCGUGAGUGAAGAAGGGUGUCGGAUCGUAAAGCUCGGUUGUAAGAGAAGAACGAGUGUGAGAGUGGAAAGUUCACACUGUGACGGUAUCUUACCAGAAAGGGACGGCUAACUACGUG
rnacentral:rRNA from 1 species